AUACGGGGGAUUCAAGCGUUAUCCGGACUUAUUGGGUUUAAAGGGUGCGUAGGCUGAUAAAUCAGUCAGCGGUGAAAUUUACGGGCUUAACUUGUAGCUUGCCGUUGAAACUAUUUAUCUAGAGAUAUUUCGGCGUAUGCGGAAUGUAUCAAGUAGCGGUGAAAUGCAUAGAUAUGCUACAGAACACCAAUCGUGAAGGCUGCAUCCGAGGAAUCAUCAGACGCUGAUGCUCGAAAGCGUGGUGAUCAAACAGGAUUAGAUGCCCUGGUAGUGCACGCUGUAAGCUAUGAUAAUUAUCUUUUAGCGAUACACAGUUAGAGGGUACGACAAAGCAUUAAGUUAUCCACCUGGGGAUUACGUUCGCAAGAAGGAAACUCACAUGAAUUGACGGUG
rnacentral:rRNA from 1 species